AGUUUGAUCCUGGCUCAGGACGAACGCUGGCGGCGUGCUUAACACAUGCAAGUCGAACGAGACGAUUGAAAGCUUGCUUUUGAAAGUCGAGUGGCAAACGGGUGAGUAACGCGUAGACAACCUGCCGUAAAGAUGGGGACAACAGUCCGAAAGGACUGCUAAUACCGAAUGUUGUGGAACUUCCGCAUGGGAGCUCCACUAAAGAUGGCCUCUACUUGUAAGCUAUCGCUUUACGAUGGGUCUGCGUCUGAUUAGCUAGUUGGUGGGGUAACGGCUUACCAAGGCGACGAUCAGUAGCCGGUCUGAGAGGAUGAACGGCCACAUUGGAACUGAGACACGGUCCAGACUCCUACGGGAGGCAGCAGUGGGGAAUCUUCCGCAAUGGGCGCAAGCCUGACGGAGCAACGCCGCGUGAGUGAAGAAGGGUUUCGACUCGUAAAGCUCUGUUGUCGGGGACGAAUGUCAGGACUCAAAAUAUGGGUUCUGAAUGACGGUACCUGACGAGGAAGCCACGGCUAACUACGUGCCAGCAGCCGCGGUAAUACGUAGGUGGCGAGCGUUGUCCGGAAUUAUUGGGCGUAAAGGGAGCGCAGGCGGGAGGUCAAGUCUAUCUUAAAAGUGCGGGGCUCAACCCCGUGAGGGGAUGGAAACUGGUCUUCUUGAGUGCAGGAGAGGAAAGCGGAAUUCCUAGUGUAGCGGUGAAAUGCGUAGAUAUUAGGAGGAACACCAGUGGCGAAGGCGGCUUUCUGGACUGUAACUGACGCUGAGGCUCGAAAGCGUGGGGAGCGAACAGGAUUAGAUACCCUGGUAGUCCACGCCGUAAACGAUGAAUGCUAGGUGUAGGAGGUAUCGACCCCUCCUGUGCCGGAGUUAACGCAAUAAGCAUUCCGCCUGGGGAGUACGGCCGCAAGGCUGAAACUCAAAGGAAUUGACGGGGGCCCGCACAAGCGGUGGAGCACGUGGUUUAAUUCGAUGCAAACCGAAGAACCUUACCUAGGUUUGACAUGUACGUGGUACGGAUCUGAAAGGUGAAGGACUGUACCUUCGGGUACAGAGCGUACACAGGUGCUGCAUGGCUGUCGUCAGCUCGUGUCGUGAGAUGUUGGGUUAAGUCCCGCGACGAGCGCAACCCCUGCAUCCAGUUACCAGCGAGUAGAGUCGGGGACUCUGGAUGGACUGCCAGCGACAAGCUGGAGGAAGGUGGGGACGACGUCAAGUCAUCAUGGCCCUUAUGCCUAGGGCGACACACGUGCUACAAUGGCCGAUACAGCGGGAAGCAAGCCUGCGAAGGCAAGCAGAUCCCACAAAGUCGGUCUCAGUUCGGAUUGUAGUCUGCAACUCGACUACAUGAAGGAGGAAUCGCUAGUAAUCGCGGAUCAGCCAAGCCGCGGUGAAUCCGUUCCCGGGCCUUGUACACACCGCCCGUCACACCACCCGAGUUGGGUGCACCCGAAGCUGGAGGCUUAACCAGCAAUGGAAGGAUCCGUCGAAGGUGUGUCUGGUGAGGGGGGUGAAGUCGUAACAAGGUAACCGUA
rnacentral:rRNA from 1 species